rnacentral:rRNA from 1 species
CCUACGGGAGGCAGCAGUAGGGAAUCUUUCACAAUGGGCGAAAGCCUGAUGGAGCAACGCCGCGUGCAGGAUGAAGGCCUUCGGGUUGUAAACUGCUUUUAUAAGCGAGAAAUAUGAUGGUACCUUAUGAAUAAGGAUCGGCUAACUAAGUGCCAGCAGCCGCGGUCAUACGUAGGAUCCGAGCAUUAUCCGGAGUGACUGGGUGUAAAGAGUUGCGUAGGUGGCAUAAUAAGUAGCUAGUGAAAUCUGGUGGCUCAACCAUUCAGACUAUUAGCUAAACUGUUAAGCUCGAGACCGUUAGGGGUAACUGGAAUUUCUAGUGUAGGAGUGAAAUCCGUAGAUAUUAGAAGGAACACCAAUAGCGUAGGCAGGUUGCUGGGACGGUUCUGACACUAAGGCACGAAAGCGUAGGGAGCAAACGGGAUUAGAUACCCCGGUAGUC